CCUAUUGGCUAUCUAGAGUUAAAUAUUUUCUUCAUCUUCCAGAGGAAAAAUGAAUUAUCCUGAACCAAUGUGUGCUACAGCGUGUAUGACUAUGUGUAUGUGUGUUUGUUGCGAAGACAAAAUACAAACAGUGAGAGAAGAUAUUCUCAUUUGUUUUUCAUUCCAGUUCUUAAAUGAUAUUUUAGGAAGCAAUCAUAAUAAAGAGGACCUGAAGGAGCUGAAGAAAUUAUUUCUCAGUUAGACGGCAGCCUGCUGUUAUCUCUAAUCUAAGAGGCACUGGAUAGAGGUCAUCUUUUGAUCAGAGGGACCGACUGGAAGAUUAACAGGGGCUGCGGGGAUCUUGCCCACCCUCAGGCAGCGUGAGCGCACUGAGCCCCACAGCGCAUUCAGCAUCUGCUGAAUCAAGCCCCAGAGCUUUGCUGGACCCCCCUUUCGGGACGGCGCUCACCUGGAAAAUCCACUGCGGACACGGCACAACAGCCUGUUUCCCACGGGAUGGUUCGAAGCGGUCCUUCGGGGCACAGGCAAGCGGGGGCACCGGGAAGGCUGGUCUCCCCACGUGUCGCGGGGCAGCGCGGGAGCAGAGCAGCUCCUCUCUCCGUGUCCUGCGCUGGGAAGGCUGCGUUGGGAGCACAACUUUCUUUGUUUUCCAUAUCUUCUGCGCAGUUCUGGGGGAGCCCAGCAGUUAUCAGAUCUACGCAUUGGGAAAAAAAUCCUCUACAAGCAAAUACCCCAGGUGUAACACCAUGCUGUGAAAUACAUAGAACUAAGGGGAGAUUCUGGUCCCGUGCUGGUCCUCAGCCCUACGGUCACUUAUCCGGGAGGUUUGGCACGAGUGAUACGUUUUCAAGGGCUUGCUCUGAAUCAAGAACGGACACUAUCCCUCCCAUACACUGA
rnacentral:lncRNA from 1 species